ACACCGAUGGUGAAGCGGUUAUCAUGCUUGCCUUCCACUGUAUCGCCGUGAGCAAGCGGCAGGGGUUCGACUCCCCUUCGGUGUA